rnacentral:rRNA from 1 species
AUUGAACGCUGGCGGCAGGCCUAACACAUGCAAGUCGAACGGCAGCACAGAAGAGCUUGCUCUUUGGGUGGCGAGUGGCGGACGGGUGAGUAACACGUAGGAAUCUACCCAGUAGUGGGGAGUAACCUGGGAAACCCGAACGGCUAAUACCGCAUACGCCCUCGAGGGGGAAAGGACGGGGGAGUCUUCGGACCUCGCGCUAUUGGAUGAGCCUGCGUCGGAUUAGCUAGUUGGUGGGGUAAGGGCCCGACCAAGGCGACGAUCCGUAGCUGGUCUGAGAGGAUGACCAGUCACACCGGAACUGAGACACGGUCCGGACUCCUACGGGAGGCAGCAGUGGGGAAGUAUUGGACAAUGGGCGCAAGCCUGAUCCAGCCAUGCCGCGUGGGUGAAGAAGGCCUGCGGGUUGUAAAGCACUUUCAGUGGGGAAGGAACAGAUUCGGGUCAAUACCCCGGAGCCCUGACGUUACCCACAGAAGAAG